rfam:Triticum aestivum genome assembly, contig: Triticum_aestivum_CS42_TGACv1_scaffold_000318_1AL
GAGAAUGAUGAUGUCAUAUUUGUCGCCCCAGUCUUAGAUCCGCCUAGGCGGAUCUUUGCUGAUUGACAUACUUCUGAAUCUGACUC